AUGAACGCUGGCGGCGUGCCUAAUACAUGCAAGUCGAGCGAACAGACGAGGAGCUUGCUCCUCUGACGUUAGCGGCGGACGGGUGAGUAACACGUGGAUAACCUACCUAUAAGACUGGGAUAACUUCGGGAAACCGGAGCUAAUACCGGAUAAUAUAUUGAACCGCAUGGUUCAAUAGUGAAAGACGGUUUUGCUGUCACUUAUAGAUGGAUCCGCGCCGCAUUAGCUAGUUGGUAAGGUAACGGCUUACCAAGGCAACGAUGCGUAGCCGACCUGAGAGGGUGAUCGGCCACACUGGAACUGAGACACGGUCCAGACUCCUACGGGAGGCAGCAGUAGGGAAUCUUCCGCAGUGGGCGAAAGCCUGACGGAGCAACGCCGCGUGAGUGAUGAAGGUCUUCGGAUCGUAAAACUCUGUUAUUAGGGAAGAACAAAUGUGUAAGUAACUAUGCACGUCUUGACGGUACCUAAUCAGAAAGCCACGGCUAACUACGUG
rnacentral:rRNA from 1 species